rnacentral:lncRNA from 1 species
GAUCUCCGGCUUGGUUCUACUCUCAGUCUGGUGGUGGAUCUACGGUCUCUUCCGGUUUGUGGGUCGUGUUCCAUUCUUCUACGGGGACUUGGCUGUUCGGUCCUCUUCAGCGUCGAAGUGGUCCUGCCCCUCUUUCUCAGUGGUUAGGUGAGCUUUAGCACACAGGUUGGAUGGUGCUGAGCUUUCACAUGAUCGCGUGGGUCUGACUAGAUGUUAUAUCCGC